GCAAGUCGAGCGAGACACUGGAUUUAUUCAGUUGAAAGCGGCGGACGAGCGAGUAACACGUAACCACCUGCCCCGUACUCAGGGAUAACAUCAUGAAAGUGGUGCUAAUACCGGAUGGUCCCGCAAGGGUAAAGAUUUAUCGGUACGGGAGGGGGUUGCGGCUUAUCAGUUUGUUGGUGGGGUAAAGGCCUACCAAGACUAUGACGAGUAGCUGGUGUGAGAGCAUGACC
rnacentral:rRNA from 1 species